GUAGUCCACGCCCUAAACGAUGGAUACUAGUCGUCGGGACACCUAAUCGUCUCGGUGACGUCGCUAACGCAUUAAGUAUCCCGCCUGGGGAGUACGGUCGCAAGAUUAAAACUCAAAGGAAUUGACGGGGGCCCGCACAAGCGGUGGAGCAUGUGGUUUAAUUCGAUGCUACGCGAAAAACCUUACCUAGGCUUGACAUCCCGGGCUAUCCUGUGAAAGCAGGAGUUCCCUUACGGGACCCGGUGACAGGUGCUGCAUGGCUGUCGUCAGCUCGUGUUGUGAGAUGUUGGGUUAAGUCCCGCAACGAGCGCAACCCUUGUCGUUAGUUACCAGCAUUUAGUUGGGGACUCUAACGAGACCGCUUGGCAAUAAGCCAGA
rnacentral:rRNA from 1 species